rnacentral:rRNA from 1 species
GAUGAACGCUGGCGGCGUGCCUAAUACAUGCAAGUCGAGCGAACAGAUGAGGAGCUUGCUCCUCUGACGUUAGCGGCGGACGGGUGAGUAACACGUGGAUAACCUACCUAUAAGACUGGGAUAACUUCGGGAAACCGGAGCUAAUACCGGAUAAUAUAUUGAACCGCAUGGUUCAAUAGUGAAAGACGGUUUUGCUGUCACUUAUAGAUGGAUCCGCGCCGCAUUAGCUAGUUGGUAAGGUAACGGCUUACCAAGGCAACGAUGCGUAGCCGACCUGAGAGGGUGAUAGGCCACACUGGAACGGAGACACGGUCCAGACUCCUACGGGAGGCAGCAGUAGGGAAUCGUCCGCAAUGGGAGAAAGCCUGACGGAGCAACGCCGCGUGAGUGAUGAAGGUCUUCGGAUCGUAAAACUCUGUUAUUAGGGAAGAACAAAUGUGUAAGUAACUAUGCACGUCUUGACGGUACCUAAUCAGAAAGCCACGGCUAACUACGUG